UAUACACUGUGCUUGGAUUUCAACAAUCAUCUUCUUUCAAAAACACCCUGACAACUGAAAUGUUCCUGUGGACAUCCACAACUUUUCAAAUAUGAUGGAGAGUGGCUUGGCAAUGACAUCAUCCAGUUCCUUCAGGAUCCUGUGAUGUAUGUUGUCCAUAAUCCCAUAAAUUUGUACACAUUCACCCUCAUGAGGCAGUCUUGGACUUGCUCCACUCCUACUGUGGUACGUUCAGGGACACGAGAAGCAUGGGAAGACUGAAUGUCAUUGAAGAUUGAGGCAGAGAACUUGGUGCAAUUUUCUCUUCAAAAAGAAGUCACAUAGAGAUGUUACUAGUACAGUGAUGGCAAUGAGAACUCCCAAUGAACCAACAGUACCUCUGCUAAAAUACAGGGACCAUUAUCAUGGACACAUUGCAUUUACAUUUAGCUCUG
ensembl:lncRNA